AAAAAGAAAAUAAAAAGAGCUCAGUACAAGGCUUAUAUAACAUCCGAAAGUUCAGAUGUGUUCAAUGGACCCAACCAUUGCAGAAACCUAAAUCCUCACAGCUCAAUGCACCAGCCGGGAAUCGAACC
rnacentral:sRNA from 1 species